UGAUGAACGAGUGUGAACGGCACGUG
rnacentral:piRNA from 1 species